rnacentral:rRNA from 1 species
AUGGAUGAUGUAGUAAGAAUGUACAUCCGAUACACACUGAAUGGAAAACAAUUCAAUCCUGAUGUGGUUCUGGAUCUCAUACGUCUUAGGAAAGCAUCAAUGUUUGAAGAUAAUGAAGUUGCUGAAAUUCUGAAUCAGAUAUCAAGACGAAUUGUUCGGGAAAAAGUGGAUGAGCUCGAGGAGGUGUUCUACGAGGAGGAACUCAACCCCAUAAAGUACAUUCUGGCAAAUAUUUUGGAAGAAGUUGGUGAUGCCACCUAUUUCGAUAAGCAGGUCACAGCUGAUCUAGAGACGAUCUCCACAAAGAAAAUAUUGGGCCAGUUGACCUUCCACGGGCAUGCAUAUCAGAAUCAAAUCAAAAGCCGGAAGCUUCAAUCUUGCCUUAUUCACAUAGCUUUUCAAGAUCAAAUGAGGAUUUGCCUGAUGUGGCCCAUAGCUAGAUAUUUGCACGUGAUAGGUACUUCUUUUUGA